GCCAGGCGUGGUGGCACAGGCCUAUAAUCCCAGCAGCUUGGGAGGCUGAGGCAGGAGGAUCGUGAGUUCAAAGCUAGCCUCAGCAACUCAGUGAGAACCUGUCUCUA
rnacentral:sRNA from 1 species